GACUUUGCUACCUCCGGCUGCUGAACCCUUCCGGCGGCCGCGAAUUUUCUUUCCCAAAAUGGUCGCUAAUCAGGAAUUCCACGGACGCGCUCGUGCCAAGGCCGUUAGGACGCGCUUCGGGGCGCGUACCCGCGCAGUCUCGUGCAUGAUCUGUAGGAAAAUCGCUCUCGUUGGGUGUGGGCACUCAGCUCAGAAAAAAAUGAUUUGGAGGCUGGCGACUUUAAACGGAAGCCACCCAUCUGGCUAUGAGUAUCACUUGUGCUCCGUAACUGUUCUUGGCAAAGAUUUUGAGAUGGAAUUUUGUGUAGCCCUGACCAAUAAAGAAGGGGCCAUCAGGUAGCUUGCAGGGUACCAGGAGAAGAGCAAAAUUACAUUUGGAGUACAAACAACCAGAUCAGAAAGUGGAAAAUUCAAUCUCUUCAAAGUUUAUUUUCAAUGCCAGCACAACACUUUGUCCCGAUCCCAUAAGGCAGAUCUCCAUCUUAAGUUGAAGAACACAUUCUAUCCUGCACAAGUGGUUAUCACAAUGAGAAACCCUGGGAAACAAAGCAAAUACUUCUCUUACAGGGCCAAACCCCAAGAUCCUCAUCUUCCAAAGUUUGCAUCACUUGUCCAGAUUCAGAAUACCCACAAUCAUGAAGUUAUGUAUGUUGAUCUCCUCAAAUUUUGUGGUGUGACAGAUUAAGUGACUGCAAAGUUCAUGGAACUCUUCAGAAAAGGACAUUCUCCCCCAACUACCCUUAACACCCACAAACUGGACUUGCAGUUAGAACAUGGUCCUGACCACCUCUUUGGAGCUGCAAAUCAAGCAAAGCGUCCAGAUUAUAGAUGCUGCCUGAUCUGCUGAGUACCUCCAGCAUCUUCUGCUUUUAUCACUAGAACGCUGCCCAUUAUAAGGAACUGCAAACAAAAGAUAAAUUUCAGUGCACUCUGCCUGACUAGUGCUCAGAGGCUGGGGCAGUGUUGGCUUCUGGAGGGGAAAGAAGAAAAUAGUCUCCUUGUUUACUAUAUUGUGUUCCUCUUCAUUAUAUUUUCAAUGAUUUAAGAAUAAAUGUUGUAUUUUUAAAAUAUCUUUUUAAUGGAUCUCCUACAAAAUAGGAUCAACUGCCAAACUGAAACAAUGAAAAUGUGCAUAUUUUUGCAGUCAAUGUAUAUUUUAAUGUAUUCCAGUUAGUUGCUACAAAUAUCACACCAGAACAUCAAUAAGAUAGAGUUGCAGACAUUUCAGGAUAGCAGAUCAUUUAAAACAAAAGUGUACCAUAAAACCUUAAACUAUAAUUAGAGCACCUUACCUCACAUUACUGUUAAACAACAUACAAAUUCUACUUAGUAAGACACAAAUGAGCAUGAACAAGUAUUUAGCCGACAACAAUGCUAGAAGUUGUGAGAAGCCAGUAAGAUUGGCAUUCUAGGAGGAUGUGAUCAAAUGGGUUGAAGGGCAUACCUCACCCAGUUGUGAUAAUGCAAUACACAAUUUUAACGUGUUAUAGUUUAACACUUAAGGAGUGUCCUGCACAGCAUUAAAUGCUUAUAUUCAAAACUUGCUAUAUCACUGAGCUAGUACAACUCCUAUGAACAUUUAGCCGCAGAUCAAUAUGAAACUUUGACAAUAAUAAGAAAGUUAAUGCACAAAAAUAGUAAAUAUAUUGACUAUAUAUAAAAAAUUUCAUAUGCACAAUGAUGCCCAGAAAAGAUAGAAGACUGUAGGCAAACUGAAGUUCACUUAUAAGCUGAAGAGCAAAGCCAGUGAAUAGCAUUGUGAAACUUUUUAAUAGUUUAUAGUCUGAUAACUAAUUUCUUGGCAUUGUUUGUCAUAUAUGUAGAUACAUAAGUGAAAUAAAUAUGGCAAGUGUCUGAA